UACGUAGGGGGCAAGCGUUGUCCGGAAUCAUUGGGCGUAAAGGGCGCGCAGGCGGCUCAUUUUUGUCAGGCGUGAAAGCCCCGGGCUUAACUCGGAACGGUCAGCUGAUACUGCUUUGCUAGAGUGCAGAAGGGGCAAUCGGAAUUCUUGGUGUAGCGGUGAAAUGCGUAGAUAUCAAGAGGAACACCUGAGGUGAAGACGGGUUGCUGGGCUGACACUGACGCUGAGGCGCGAAAGCUAGGGUAGCAAACGGG
rnacentral:rRNA from 1 species